ACUCCUACGGGAGGCAGCAGUGGGGAAUCUUGGACAAUGGGCGAAAGCCUGAUCCAGCAAUGCCGCGUGAGUGAAGAAGGCCUUCGGGUUGUAAAGCUCUUUCGGACGGGACGAAAUGGCAUCCGCUAAUACCGGGUGUCGAUGACGGUACCGUAAGAAGAAGCACCGGCUAACUACGUGCCAGCAGCCGCGGUAAUAC
rnacentral:rRNA from 1 species